rnacentral:rRNA from 1 species
CUUGCCCUACGGGGGGCAGCAGUGAGGAAUAUUGGUCAAUGGGCGAGAGCCUGAACCAGCCACGUCGCGUGAAGGAUGACGGCCCUAUGGGUUGUAAACUUCUUUUGUCAGGGAGCAAUUGAGUCCACGUGUGGGCUUAGCGAGAGUACCUGAAGAAAAAGCAUCGGCUAACUCCGUGCCAGCAGCCGCGGUAAUACGGAGGAUGCGAGCGUUAUCCGGAUUUAUUGGGUUUAAAGGGUGCGUAGGCGGAAUAUCAAGUCAGCGGUAAAAAUGCGG